rnacentral:tRNA from 1 species
GCGGGCGUGGCGGAACUGGUAGACGCCGGGGACUUAAAAUCCCCUGAUCCCUGAUCGUGCGGGUUCGAGUCCCGCCGCCCGCA